rnacentral:rRNA from 1 species
AACGAACGCUGGCGGCAUGCCUAACGCAUGCAAGUCGAACGAGACCUUCGGGUCUAGUGGCGCACGGGUGCGUCACGCGUGGGAACCUGCACUUAGGUUCGGAAUACCUACCCGAAAGGGGUGCUAAUACCGGAUAAUGUCUUCGGACCAAAGAUUUAUCGCCUUUGGAUGGGCCGGCGUUGGAUUAGCUAGUUGGUAGGGUAAAAGCCUACCAAGGCGACGAUCCAUAGCUGGGCAGAGAGGAUGAUCAGCCACACUGGGACUGAGACACGGCCCAGACUCCUACGGGAGGCAGCAGUGGGGAAUAUUGGACAAUGGGCGAAAGCCUGAUCCAGCAAUGCCGCGUGAGUGAUGAAGGCCUUAGGGUUGUAAAGCGCUUUUACCCGGGAUGAUAAUGACAGUACCGGGAGAAUAAGCUCCGGCUAACUCCGUG